rnacentral:misc_RNA from 1 species
UCCAGCUUAUCGCUGGCGGUCUCCUGAGAGUGCAUCCUUACGGAUUAGCAACACAGGACAAGGGUUGCGCUCGUUGCGGGACUUAACCCAACAUCUCACGACACGAGCUGACGACAGCCAUGCAGCACCUCGACUAACGUCCCUUGCGGGAGGACCAGUAUUUCUACCGGCUUGCGUCAGCCGUUCGAGCCCAGGUAAGGUUCUUCGCGUUGCGUCGAAUUAAACCACAUGCUCCACCGCUUGUGCGGGCCCCCGUCAAUUCCUCUGAGUUUCAGCCUUGCGACCGUACUCCCCAGGCGGCAUACUUAACGCGUUAGCUCCGGCACGAACCAAAUGAAUGGCUCACACCAAGUAUGCAUCGUUUAGGGCGUGGACUAA